AACGCAAAUUGCGCUUAAGGGUAUUCCUUUGAGCAUGCCUGGUUGAGUAUCAUUAAAUAAACUCAUUACCAAAAAGUUUCUGGAACUUGUUCUGGUCUCUUUCUGGUCAAUGGAUAUGAGGUUGUCUUGGACUUUUUGUCUCUUUUGACAAAAGCAUGCCAAGUCCCUUUAAGUAAAGAGAUGUGCAAUGAGUCUCACCGUUUUGACGGCUCUUGUACUUUUAUGAUGCGGUAAUUGUUCUAAACAUUUUCACAUCAUAUUUAAGUGCAUUGAGUUAGGUGACUUGACUUGUUAUUCGCACCAAAACCCCCAAAACCGAAAGUUGAAGAGCCUAAAAAACUCUAUCGAUUUUUGAAUCUUGAUCUCAACUCAGGCAAGACUACCCGCUGAAUUUAA
rnacentral:misc_RNA from 1 species